GUGGGGAAUUUUGGACAAUGGGGGCAACCCUGAUCCAGCCAUGCCGCGUGAGUGAAGAAGGCCUUCGGGUUGUAAAGCUCUUUCGGCCGGGAAGAAAUCGCAUGGGUUAAUACCCUGUGUGGAUGACGGUACCGGAAUAAGAAGCACCGGCUAACUACGUGCCAGCAGCCGCGGUAAUACGUAGGGUGCGAGCGUUAAUCGGAAUUACUGGGCGUAAAGCGUGCGCAGGCGGUUUUGUAAGACAGGCGUGAAAUCCCCGGGCUUAACCUGGGAACUGCGUUUGUGACUGCAAGGCUAGAGUACGGCAGAGGGGGGUGGAAUUCCACGUGUAGCAGUGAAAUGCGUAGAGAUGUGGAGGAACACCAAUGGCGAAGGCAGCCCCCUGGGUCGAUACUGACGCUCAUGCACGAAAGCGUGGGUAGCAAACAGGAUUAGAAACCCUAGUAGUCC
rnacentral:rRNA from 1 species